rnacentral:rRNA from 1 species
ACGCUCGACACCUACGGGAGCCAGCAGUGGGGAAUAUUGGGCAAUGGACGCAAGUCUGACCCAGCAACGCCGCGUGAAGGAAGAAGGCUUUCGGGUUGUAAACUUCUUUUGUCAGGGAAGAGCGGAAGACGGUACCUGACGAAUAAGCCACGGCUAACUACGUGUCAGCAGCCGCGGUAAUCUGAGCGGGCUGGCAAGGC